rnacentral:rRNA from 1 species
AUUGAACGCUGGCGGCACGCCUUACACAUGCAAGUCGAACGGUAACAGGUUAAGCUGACGAGUGGCGAACGGGUGAGUAAUGUAUCGGAACGUGCCCAGUCGUGGGGGAUAACUGCUCGAAAGAGCAGCUAAUACCGCAUACGACCUGAGGGUGAAAGCGGGGGAUCGCAAGACCGCGCGCGAUUGGAGCGGCCGAUAUCAGAUUAGGUAGUUGGUGAGGUAAAGGCUCACCAAGCCGACGAUCUGUAGCUGGUCUGAGAGGACGACCAGCCACACCGGGACUGAGACACGGCCCAGACUCCUACGGGAGGCAGCAGUGGGGAAUUUUGGACAAUGGGCGCAAGCCUGAUCCAGCCAUGCCGCGUGCGGGAAGAAGGCCUUCGGGUUGUAAACCGCUUUUGUCAGAGAAGAAAAGGUUCUGGCUAAUACCUGGGACUCAUGACGGUACCUGAAGAAUAAGCACCGGCUAACUACGUGCCAGCCGCCGCGGUAA